rnacentral:rRNA from 1 species
CCCUUAGAUGUUCUGGGCUGCACGCGCGCUACACUGAUGCGCUCAACGAGUUUUAACCUUGCCUGGAAAGGUUGGGUAAUCUUUUUAAAACGCAUCGUGAUGGGGAUAGAUUAUUGCAAUUAUUAAUCUUCAACGAGGAAUUCCUAGUAAGCGCGAGUCAUCAGCUCGCGUUGACUACGUCCCUGCCCUUUGUACACACCGCCCGUCGCUCCUACCGAUUGAAUGGUCCGGUGAAGUGUUCGGAUCGCGCCGACGUGGGCGGUUCGCCGCCGGCGACGUCGCGAGAAGUCCACUGAACCUUAUCAUUUAGAGGAAGGAGAAGUCGUAACA